GGUCCCUAUUUUGUUUCAGCAGACAGCACCACCAACGGAGCUCCAGACAUGCCACGCCACAAAAGGAGCAGCUAUAUUAAGGUUUGCUCCACCUCAGGUAGGUCUUGCUUUCUGAUUUAUAUUUUUGGGGAUCAGGGAGCAGAGUGUAUACUACCCUUACACCACCUGCUGUAUUGUGGUAGCUGUAGUCUUUCAUCAUGCACUAUAUAUUAACUUCACAGAGUACCGGAGCAGAGGAGUGGCAUGAGAAUUGUGUUGUUCUCCUCAGAAGUCACCUCUAAAAUAUAAAUUUUGUUCUGUUUCAUGCUUAAAGGGACACUAUAG